rnacentral:sRNA from 1 species
GCACCUUAUAAAACGGGUGCCGGGAUUUGCACCCCGGAAUUGAUCAAGGCGAUAUACGACGCGCCAGCGUCUUUUUU